rnacentral:rRNA from 1 species
GACGAACGCUGGCGGCGUGCUUAACACAUGCAAGUCGAACGGAAAGGCCCUGCUUUUGUGGGGUGCUCGAGUGGCGAACGGGUGAGUAACACGUGAGUAACCUGCCCUUGACUUUGGGAUAACUUCAGGAAACUGGGGCGAAUACCGGAUAGGAGAUCCUGCUCCAUGGUGGGGGUUGGAAAGUUUCGGCGGUGGGGGAUGGGCUAGCGGCUUAUCAGCUUGUUGGUGGGGUAGGGGCUGACCAAGGCUUUGACGGGUAGCCGGCCUGGGAGGGUGACCGGCCACAAUGGGCCUGCGAGACGGCCCAGACUGCUACGGGCGGCAGCAGUGGGGAACAUUGCACAAUGGGCCGAAGCCUGAUGCAGCAACGCUGCGUGCGGGAUGACGGCUUUUGGGUUGUAAACAGCUUUCGCCUGUGACGAAGCGUGAGUGACGGUAAUGGGUAAAGAAGCACCGGCUAACUACGUG